rnacentral:piRNA from 1 species
UUCAAAGUACAUAUAGAUGUCACGCUGCAU